UACGUAGGGGGCAAGCGUUGUUCGGAUUCAUUGGGCGUAAAGGGUGCGUAGGCGGCGCGGUAAGUCGGGUGUGAAAUCUCGGGGCUUAACUCCGAAACUGCAUUCGAUACUGCCGUGCUUGAGGACUGGAGAGGAGACUGGAAUUUACGGUGUAGCGGUGAAAUGCGUAGAUAUCGUAAGGAAGACCAGUGGCGAAGGCGGGUCUCUGGACAGUUCCUGACGCUGAGGCACGAAGGCCUGGGGAGCGAACGGG
rnacentral:rRNA from 1 species